rnacentral:ncRNA from 1 species
AAUUAGCCAAUGGUUGGCUGAUCGCGUUCAAAUAAUUUGUGCCUUGGUUGUUUGCAUGCGUUUCUUUUCUAU